UGCCUACGGGACGCAGCAGUGAGGAAUAUUGGUCAAUGGGCGCGAGCCUGAACCAGCCAAGUCGCGUGAGGGAGGACGGCCCUACGGGUUGUAAACCUCUUUUGCCGGGGAGCAACGGGCGUCACGUGUGGCGCCACUGAGAGUACCCGGAGAAAAAGCAUCGGCUAACUCCGUGCCAGCAGCCGCGGUAAUACGGAGGAUGCGAGCGUUAUCCGGAUUUAUUGGGUUUAAAGGGUGCGUAGGCGGUUUUUUAAGUUAGUGGUUAAACGUCGGGGCUUCACCUUGAUUUGCCAUUAAUACUGUAA
rnacentral:rRNA from 1 species